rnacentral:rRNA from 1 species
AUGAUUAAUUGGGGUGGGGUUUCUACCCCUAUCUGGAAAAAAUUCUGGAAAAUCGUCGUGCCUCACAGAUAUUUAGUUUUCCUAUGGUUAGCUUUCCAUAACAAGAUUCUUACCAGAGAUAAUCUGAAUAAAAGAAGGGAAGUGGAAAAUUUAAAAUGUUUGUUUUGUGAUGAGGAUGAAACUGUUUAUCACCUAUUCUUUGAGUGUGUGGUUGCUAAACAAAUCUGGAAUGAUGUGUCUGACUCUUUUGGGUUUAGUAGUUCUAAUGAUAUGAAUGAACUAUCUUCCUUCUGGAACCUAAAUAACAAGAAGUCUGUUACCAAUAUUGCCUGUGUUGCUACCAUUUGGGGCAUUUGGACUAUGCGUAAUGACAUGUGCUUUCAGGGCGCGCUGUGGACAAGCACCAGUACAAUCUUGGCAAGAAUCAGCUCGUCAUUGCAUCAAUGGAAGAUCCUCUGUGUGGGCGACCAAUCGGUGCUGCUGAGAAGAUGCAUUCAACUCCUAGAUCGGCGAAGAGGCGAGCUGCUCAGGAUUGCAUGGGCGUUGGGCUGA